rnacentral:tRNA from 4 species
GGGCCUGUAGCUCAGUUGGUUAGAGCCCCCCGCUCAUAACGGGGUUGUCGGGGGUUCAAAUCCCUCCGGGCCCACCA